CAAAAUAAUUUUUAUUUCAGUGUCUAUCAAAGAAAUUCAACUUUUUAAUUUUUGUGGGCGAAUGAUUUUUUGGAAAUGCUUUAGUAUAUAUAAGCUUUGAACGACAUAGGCGCUAAAAGAGUAAUUUUAAGGUACAUCGGGCGAAAGAAUAUUCAGAGAUGCGAUAUUGUAAAUAAGCUUUUAAUGAAUUGGGCAAAAUAAUUUUUAGAUAAAAAAUCUGCUUUAGAUUUUUUAGGGCGAAAGAAAUUGACAAUGAGUGUUGAAUAAAAAGGGAUUCGGGCUUUUAUAUGUUUCAUAGGGCUUAUUCUUUAAUAUUCGGCAUUUUAGGUUUUAUAGGGCAAAUGAAUUUGAAGAUAAGUGUUUUAUACACAGAAAUUAUUUCGUUUAUCGUUUAUAGGGAUAAGAAAUUUUGGAUCCGUGUUUUAUACAACGAAAUGCAACUUAAGUCAAAAGAGAAAAAAAAAUUACGUGAUUAGUACAAAGAAAUACGACUGUUUAAGAUUAAUUGUGGAAAUAAUUAUCAGAUACGCAUUAGUAAAUAAGCUGUGAAUGAACUGUGUUCCGAAAUAUUCCAUUUUUGAGGUUUAUAGGGCGAAAGAAUUUUUAGAUACGUGAUAGUAAAUAAGCUCUGAAGGAUAUAGGCACUGUAAGAUUAAAAGAUUUUUAGGGCGAAACAAUGUUUAGACUAGUGUGUAAUACAAAGUUAUUCGGUUUUUUAAGGUUUUAGGGCGAAAGCAUUUAUAGAUACUUGUAUGCAAUACUAAGUAAUUCGGCUUUUUAAGGUUUAUAUGGCGAAAAAGUUGUAGAAUGGUGUUAUUACGCAUUGAACGAAAGACGCGCAUUGAAAUGGAUCAUUUAUGCAAAGAAAUUUUAGUAAGGUUAAUAGGACGAAAGAAUUUUUAGAUACGUGAUAGUUAAUAAACUCUGAAGGUUCUAGGCACUGUAAUAUUUAGGUUUUUAGGGCGAAAAAAUUUCUAGAUAUGUGAUAGUUAAUAAGCUUGUUACGAUCUAGGCAGUGUAAGAUUUAAUAUUUUCACAAAGAUUUUCGGCUUCUUUAGAUCUUUAGGUCGAAACAAUAUUUAGACUAGUGUGUAAUACAAAGUAAUUCGGCUUUUUAAGGUUUAUAGGACGAAAGAAUCUUUGGAUACGUGAUAGUAAAUACGCUUUGAAGGGUCUAGGUACUGUAAGAUUUAAAAUUUUCACGAAGAAAUUCGGCUCCUUUAGAUCUUUAGAGCGAGACACUAAAUAUUGUUUUGCCCUAAAGAUCUAGUAUUUUCUAUAAAAAAAUCCAGUUUUAUUAAGGUUAAAGGGCGAAAGAAUUUUUAGUUACGUGUAAGUUAUGCAUUGAACGAAAUAUAUCAUUUGUGCAAAGAAAUUUGACUGAGCUUUACACAGCGAAAUAUUUUUUUUAUUCGUAUUAAAGAAUUGUUCGAACUAGGUGCUGUAAUAUUUGCCAUUUAUACAAUAAAAACGGCUUGUUUAGGUUUUUUUUUUGUGAAACUAUAGAAGCGCAUUCUACGCUAUAAUGCAUUCUAGUGCAUACUAGCAUUAAGAAUGUAUUCUACUCAAAAAAGUUUCUCUGGUUUUGUAUGAUAAUCAAUCUCAUAUAAUAUGUUUAUCACAAAGCGUUCUUUUUAGACUUUCAAUUUCAUGUAGAAUAAUGUGAUUACAGUACGUUAAUCUUUUACGUAUAAGUAAAUUUAUUAUUAACAACAUUUGUAACGUUGUUUUGUCCUAUAUAGACUUGAAUGAAUAGGCAAAAUAUGUUAUUUAAAAAUUAAUCGUCCAUUUUAAAGGCAGACUUAUUUUCUUUAUUGUGUCUUUCUUCACGUAUACAACCUUUUAUUAUGUACUGUUUAAAUCGGUUAUUAUUUCUGUGUGGUCUUCAAAUUAUAAAAUGUUACUUCUAUCUUUACUAAGCCAUUAUUUGAAUAUCGUUCAGUCAUUUGUUUUCUUUGAGUGUGAGAAAUCAUUUGUUUCAUUUCACUUCUACAUUACGCAAUAGCACAUAAACUUCACUAAUUUAAAUUUUCGGAAGUUUUUUUAGCUUGUGGCAAUGCUAUGUGCAUGUUAAGACAUGGUGAGUGUUCUUAAACGGUACUAAUUUGACACAAAAUUCCUUAGAUCUUAAAUCUCACAUGGUUUAUAUUAUACAUAUGAAUUGCACGUUACAACUACGUCCAUCAUAUUUACAUCGGUUUACAA